UUUGCCCUAUGGUCUGGGAUAUCCUUGGGAAACUGAGGGCAAACCCGGGCAGGGAAAAGGUACUGGAACGUCCUUUUCUUGAAGGUAACGCCAUAGGAUAAGUCGGCGGCUGAUUAGGCUGUUGGCGUGGUAAAGGCGCACCAAACCUAAGAUCAGUAGGGGGGAUGAGAGUCCGAGCCCCGAGAAGGGCACUGAGACACUGGCCCUAGCUCUAAGGAGUGCAGCAGGCGCGAAAACUUUGCAAUGCACGAAAGUGUGACAAGGGGAUCCCAAGUGCUCUACCACUGGUAGAGCUUUUGCCAAGUGUAAGGAGCUUGGCGAAUAAGUGGUGGGUAAGACGGGUGCCAGCCGCCGCGGUAACACCUGCGCCACAAGUGGGAGUCACGGUUAUUGGGUCUAAAGUGUUCGUAGCCGGUAUUGUAAGUCUUUUGUGAAAUCAUCAAGCUUAACUUGAUGGCGCGCAAAAGAUACUGCAUUACUAGGGACUGGGAGGAGCUAAGGGUAUUCCGGGGGGAGCGGUAAAAUGUGAUAAUCCUCGGAGGACCACCGGUGGCGAAAGCGCUUAGCUAGAACAGGUCCGACGGUGAGGAACGAAGGCUGGGGGAGCAAAACGGAUUAGAUACCCGAGUAGUCCCAGCAGUAAACGCUGUGAGCAAUGUGUUGCAUGUCCUUAUAGGUCAUGCAGUGCCUAAACGAAGGUGUUAAGCUCACCACCUGGGAAGUACGACCGCAAGGUUGAAACUUAAAGGAAUUGGCGGGGGCUCACUACAAGGGGUGGAGCAUGCGGUUCAAUCGGAUUCUACUCCGAACAUCUCACCAGCAGCGACGGCAGGAUGAAGGUCAGAUUAAAGGUUUUACCUGACGAGCCGAGAGAUGGUGCAUGGCCGACGUCAGCUCGUGCCGUGAGGUGUCAUGUUAAGUCAUGCAACGAGCAAGACCGGUGCCUACAUUUGCCAGCAGGUUCUUCGGAAUGACUGGGCACAAUGUAGGGACUGCUCGGGUAACUGAGAGGAAGGUGCCAGCAACGUUAGGUCUGUAUGCCUCGGAUCCGCUGGGCUACACGCGUGCUACAAUGGUAUGGACAAUAGGAUGCAACUCCGAAAGGAGAAGCUAAUCCAGUAAACCAUAUCUCAGUCCGGAUCGAGGGUUGUAACUCACCCUCGUGAAGACGGAAUCCCUAGUAAUCGGGUUUCAUCACAGCCCGGUGAAUCUGUCCCUGAGCCUUGCACACACUGCCCGUCAAACCAACCGAACAGGUUCUAGGUGAGACUUAGUUUUUUGGCUAUAGCGAACCUAGGAUCAGUAAGGUGGGUUAAGUCGUCACAAGGUA
rnacentral:rRNA from 1 species